UGACAUUUUGCAUACAGAUAGUACAUGAUGAGACGCAUGGGAAAAUACUUCUAAUUUUGUUGUCAAGGCAACGCAGUCGUUCCCAGGCCCCUUACACUGAUUUUGAAUAACUAGUUGCAUUUAUUUAUGUGUAUGUCAUUUUCGAAUUAUUAUCAUGCAAGUAAACUUUUGGCAUGCAUAGGUAUGGUACACAUACUUCUGACAUUAUUUUAUUCUUAUAAGUACCAUGAAUAAAGCUGUUUUAUAAAAUUGGCGCAAGGGGCCUGGGAACGACAUUGUUACCUUAGCAACAAAAUUAGAAGUGUUUUUCAAUGCGUCUCAUCAUGUACAAUCAGUAUCCAAAAUUUCAUUUGAUUUGGGCCC